rnacentral:rRNA from 1 species
GAUGAACGCUGGCGGCGUGCUUAACACAUGCAAGUCGAACGAAACACCUUAUUUGAUUUUCUUCGGAACUGAAGAUUUGGUGAUUGAGUGGCGGACGGGUGAGUAACGCGUGGGUAACCUGCCCUGUACAGGGGGGAUAACAGUUAGAAAUGACUGCUAAUACCGCAUAAGACCACAGCACCGCAUGGUGCAGGGGUAAAAACUCCGGUGGUACAGGAGGGACCCGCGUCUGAUUAGCUGGUUGGUGAGGUAACGGCUCACCAAGGCGACGAUCAGUAGCCGGCUUGAGAGAGUGAACGGCCACAUUGGGACUGAGACACGGCCCAAACUCCUACGGGAGGCAGCAGUGGGGAAUAUUGCACAAUGGGGGAAACCCUGAUGCAGCGACGCCGCGUGAGUGAAGAAGUAUCUCGGUAUGUAAAGCUCUAUCAGCAGGGAAGAAAAUGACGGUACCUGACUAAGAAGCCCCGGCUAACUACGUGCCAGCAGCCGCAGUAA